ensembl:snRNA U4 U4 spliceosomal RNA
AGCUUUGUGCAGUGGCAGUAUCAUAGCCAAUGUUGUUUAUCCGAGACGUGAUUAUUGCUAAUUGAAAACACACACACACAUAUAUGUAAUUGCGUGUUAAUAUGCAUAGUUUUAUUCAUGUGUGUAUGUAUACAUA